UCACGUCUUGCGACGGCAGUUUCACUAGAGUUCCCAGCAUUACCUGAUGGCAACUAGUGAUAGGGGUUGCGCUCGUUGCGGGACUUAACCCAACAUCUCACGACACGAGCUGACGACGGCCAUGCAACACCUGUCACUUGGCUCAAUAAAGCACUCUCUCCUUUCGGAGAAAUUCCAAGGAUGUCAAGCCUGGGUAAGGUUCUUCGCUUAUCAUCGAAUUAAACAACACGCUCCACCGCUUGUGCGGGUCCCCGUCAAUUCCUUUAUGUUUUAAGCUUGCGCUCGUACUCCACAGGCGGGAUGCUUAACGCGUUAGCUUCGCUACGACACGGGUCGAUACGCAUCACAGCUAGCAUCCAUAGUUUACGGCGUGGACUAC
rnacentral:misc_RNA from 1 species